rnacentral:rRNA from 1 species
GAUGAACGCUAGCGGCAGGCCUAACACAUGCAAGUCGAGGGAGAAGCCCUUUCGGGGGCAGAAACCGGCGCACGGGUGCGUAACGCGUAUGCAACCUACCUUUCACAGGGGGAUAGCCCGAAGAAAUUUGGAUUAAUACCCCAUAAUAUUAUUGGAUGGCAUCAUUUGAUAAUUAAAACUGCGGUGGUGAAAGAUGGGCAUGCGUCCUAUUAGCUAGUUGGAGUGGUAACGGCACCCCAAGGCUACGAUAGGUAGGGGUCCUGAGAGGGAGAUCCCCCACACUGGUACUGAGACAGGGACCAGACUCCGACGGGAGGCAGCAGUGAGGAAUAUUGGUCAAUGGUCGGAAGACUGAACCAGCCAUGCCGCGUGCAGGAAGAAUGCCUUAUGGGGUGUAAACUGCUUUUAUAUGGGAAGAAUAAGGCGUACGUGUACGUUGAUGACGGUACCAUAUGAAUAAGCAUCGGCUAACUCCGU